CCUAUCAGUAUCCUGAGUAGGGCGGGACACGUGAAAUCCCGUUUGAAUCCGCGAGGACCAUCUCGCAAGGCUAAAUACUAACCAGUGACCGAUAGUGAACCAGUACCGUGAGGGAAAGGUGAAAAGAACCCCGGGAGGGGAGUGAAAGAGAACCUGAAACCGUGUGCCUACAAGUAGUCAGAGCCCGUUAACGGGUAAUGGCGUGCCUUUUGUAGAAUGAACCGGCGAGUUGCGUUAGUCAGCAAGGUUAAGUCAGAAAAGACGGAGCCGUAGCGAAAGCGAGUCUGAAGAGGGCGAGCAGUUGGCUGACGCAGACCCGAAACCAAGUGACCUACCCAUGACCAGGUUGAAGGCGCGGUAAAACGCGCUGGAGGACCGAACCCACGUAAGUUGAAAAUUGCGGGGAUGAGUUGUGGGUAGCGGUGAAAUUCCAAACGAACUUGGAGAUAGCUGGUUCUCUCCGAAAUAGCUUUAGGGCUAGCCUCGCAAAGAGGAUGCUGGAGGUAGAGCUCUGUUUGGACUAGGGGCCCGUCAAGGGUUACUGAAUUCAGAUAAACUGCGAAUUCCAGACAUUUAUGUGCGGGAGUCAGACUGCGAGUGAUAAGAUCCGUAGUCGAAAGGGAAACAGCCCAGAUCACCAGUUAAGGUCCCAAAAUUCAUGCUAAGUGGAAAAGGAUGUGGAGUUGCGCAGACAACUAGGACGUUGGCUCAGAAGCAGCCAUCAUUCAAAGAGUGCGUAAUAGCUCACUAGUCGAGUGACGCCGCGCCGAAAAUUUACCGGGGCUAAGCAUGAUACCGAAACUGUGGAUGUGCAUUUAUGCACGUGGUAGGAGAGCGUUCUAGCGGCGGUGAAGCAUGACCGAGAGGACAUGUGGAGCUUCUAGAAGUGAGAAUGCCGGUAUGAGUAACGAAAGACAGGUGAGAAUCCUGUCCGCCGCAAGAC
rnacentral:rRNA from 1 species